rnacentral:rRNA from 1 species
UGGGGAAUUUUGCACAAUGGGGGAAACCCUGAUGCAGCGACGCCGCGUGAUUUAGAAGGCCUUCGGGUUGUAAAAAUCUUUUCUAUGGGAAGAAAAUGACAGUACCAUAGGAAUAAGGACCGGCUAAUUACGUGCCAGCAGCCGCGGGAAUACGUAAGGUCCGAGCGUUGUCCGGAAUCAUUGGGCGUAAAGGGUACGUAGGCGGGUAAGCGAGUUAGAAGUGAAAUCCUAUAGCUCAACUAUAGUAAGCUUUUAAAACUGCUCAUCUUGAGGUAUGGAAGGGAAAGUGGAAUUCCUAGUGUAGCGGUGAAAUGCGCAGAUAUUAGGAGGAAUACCGGUGGCGAAGGCGACUUUCUGGCCAUAACCUGACGCUGAGGUACGAAAGCGUGGGUAGCAAACAGG